rnacentral:rRNA from 1 species
GGAAUUGUUCGCAAUGGGCGCAAGCCUGACGACGCAACGCCGCGUGGAGGAUGAAGGUCUUCGGAUUGUAAACUCCUGUUGCUCGGGACGAAACGCUCCGACCUAAUACGUCGGAUUCUGACGGUACCGGGUGAGGAAGCCCCGGCUAACUCUGUUCCAGCAGCCGCGGCAAUACAGAGGGGGCAAGCGUUGUUCGGAAUUACUGGGCGUAAAGGGCGCGUAGGCGGCCUGUUAAGUCGAACGUGAAAUCCCCGGGCUAAACCCGGGAACUGCGUCCGAUACUGGCAGGCUCGAAUCCGGGAGAGGGAUGUGGAAUUCCAGGUGUAGCGGUGAAAUGCGUAGAUAUCCGGAGGAACACCGGUGGCGAAGGCGGCAUCCUGGACCGGUAUUGACGCUGAGGCGCGAAAGCCAGGGGAGCAAAC